GACGAACGCUGGCGGCGUGCUUAACACAUGCAAGUCGAACGAAGUGGCGAACGGGUGAGUAACGCGUAAUCAACCUGCUCUUCAGAGGGGGACAACAGUGGGAAACGACUGCUAAUACCGCAUACUGAAGGAGGGGAUUGCGUCGGAUUAGCUAGUUGGGGGGGUAACGGCCCACCAAGGGGAGGGGAAGUAGGCGGGCCGGUAGGAUGAACGGCCACAUUGGGACUGGGACACGGCCCAGACUCCUAAGGGAGGCAGCAGGGGGGAAUCUUCCGAAAUGGACGAAAGUCUGACGGAGCAACGCCGCGUGAGUGAUGACGGCCUUCGGGUUGUAAAGCUCUGUUAAUCGGGACGCGGUACCGGAAUAGAAAGCCACGGCUAACUACGUGCCAGCAGCCGCGGUAAUAC
rnacentral:rRNA from 1 species